CUACCAUGCAGUCGAGCGGAACGAUGAUAGCUUGCUAUCAGGCGUCGAGCGGCGGACGGGUGAGUAAUACUUAGGAAUCUACCUAGUAGUGGGGGAUAGCACGGGGAAACUCGUAUUAAUACCGCAUACGUCCUACGGGAGAAAGGGGGCAACUUGUUGCUCUCGCUAUUAGAUGAGCCUAAGUCGGAUUAGCUAGAUGGUGGGGUAAAGGCCUACCAUGGCGACGAUCUGUAGCUGGUCUGAGAGGAUGAUCAGCCACACCGGGACUGAGACACGGCCCGGACUCCUACGGGAGGCAGCAGUGGGGAAUAUUGGACAAUGGGGGAAACCCUGAUCCAGCCAUGCCGCGUGUGUGAAGAAGGCCUUUUGGUUGUAAAGCACUUUAAGCAGUGAAGAAGACUCUUCGGUUAAUACCCGGGGACGAUGACAUUAGCUGCAGAAUAAGCACCGGCUAACUCUGUGCCAGCAGCCGCGGUAAUACAGAGGGUGCAAGCGUUAAUCGGAAUUACUGGGCGUAAAGCGAGCGUAGGUGGCUUGAUAAGUCAGAUGUGAAAUCCCCGGGCUUAACCUGGGAACUGCAUCUGAAACUGUUAGGCUAGAGUAGGUGAGAGGGAAGUAGAAUUUCAGGUGUAGCGGUGAAAUGCGUAGAGAUCUGAAGGAAUACCGAUGGCGAAGGCAGCUUCCU
rnacentral:rRNA from 1 species